CGACCCCAAAUUUUUUGGAUAAAGACUUAGUUGAGUUCAGUUGAGUUGAGUUACUGACUUAAGCAUUGGGAGGUCGCCUAAACCAACCACCAGUGUUCUUGAUUCUUGAUGGUUUUGCAGAUCUAUACAUGUAGAGAUAUCUUGUUGAGAAUCAAUAAGCAACAUUAGCGUUAAUUUCAUGACUCUACAAAAGAAAUACAUAGAAGUUUCUAAAAGUCAAAACAAAAAAUAUGUUGACAGAAGCCUACUCACCCGUUGGUAUUUGCGCAUUGAACUGCAGUGAAAAACAGCAAGAUGAUGCAUAAAAAUGCAAAUGCAACGCAUCUACAUAUCACACACAAUAAACACACACCCCACUCACAUUGCUUAGCACUUAAUAAGUUCCAUUAGAGAAUUAAUACUCAAGUUCAGGAUAUCAGUUAGUAGCCCAAAAGGGUAUAAACACAGAUACGUAAGUAUGCAAUUUCACAAUGUAUUAACCCACCAGUCCCUAGAAGGAAGCUAUUCAACUUCAAGACGUAAUUGGAAUCAAGUUGCUGCCCUUUCUAACAAUAUCAAACAAAAGUAGGAGCUUUCCGGAUCCGUAAUUUAUAUCAUUAAAGAUGCUCUUUUGAUCCAUCAAAAGAAUUUCGCUAAUUUCAACCUCUUCUCUUCUCAUUAAUCAACAUAAACAAACUUGCAAUUAUAUAACAAAAACUCGUCAGCAUAUCUGAUAGUUUUUGGUGUUUUUCUUGGCAAUCCCUUCAACAUAAUCCAGCUCUUCAUACAGGUCUGUAUUGAGUGCCUCAAGUACAAGACGCCUGAAAUGCCAAACAGUG
rnacentral:misc_RNA from 1 species